GUAUUGUCUAGCAUUCCUCUUGACGAGGAUGGAAGAGGUCUUUAUGGCCUACAGUACACAAAUGGUUAGGGUAUUGUGAACUGCAGUACGCCGUGCCAUGUCUACCCAAAUUUUUU
ensembl:snRNA